AGAUCAAGUCUGGCAACGAGGGGCGAGAGUUUUACAUGCGGCAAACCAGUAAUAUCAGUGCAACUUUGGUUCUGGCCCGGCCCAUUAAAGGACCGAAGACUAUCGUUCUAGAUCUAGAGAUGGUUACGGUUAACAACGUCAUCAACUUCCGUGGCAGUUCAAUAAUCCGCCUCACAGUAUUUGUCUCUGAACAUCCAUUCUGAGGCUUUAUAAAUGAACCUCUGACCUCUCACCUCUUCAUGGCCCCAUACCUCUAUCUUGGACUUCCUGUUACUGCACUACCCGUCAGGCAGCUGCAUUUCCUCAUUUUGUUUGUUCUGUGGAUCUGGACUCUCAUGUGGUCUUCACCGUCUCUGUCUGCUCUGUAGUGGGCUGAGCUUGUGCUGAUGUUUGAUAUUUCAUAAUGCAGGUUUUUCAUUAGGCUGCCUGGCUGUCAUUGUCAUCUGCAGCCACACACA